UUGCUGUGUUGUUGUCGUAGGUCUCUCUUUAUGUUGUGUUGUGUUGUGUUGCUACCAUGCUGUGUUGUUGUCUUAGGUCUCUCUUUAUGUUGUGUUGUGUUGUGUUGCUACCUUGCUGUGUUGUUGUCUUAGGUCUCUCUUUGUGUUGUGUUGUGUUGUCUCUCUUUAUGUUGUGUUGUGCUCUUUAUGUUGUGUUGUGUUGUGUUGUGUUGUGUUGUGUUGUGGUGUCUCUCUUUAUGUUGUGUUGUGCUCUUUAUGUUGUGUUGUGUUGUGUUGUGUUGUGUUGUGUUGUGUUGUGUUAUGUUGUCUCUCUUUAUGUUGUGUUGUGUUGUCUCUCUUUAUGUUGUGUUGUGGUGUCUCUCUUGUCAUGA
rnacentral:lncRNA from 8 species